AUAGCAACAGCAGCGUAGCUGAACAUCUUACGGAUGGCCCAGGGCUCCAAAGGCUCGUUUCCUAAGUGAGAGAGAGCCUGGCUGAAGCUGUAUUACCAUUCAUUCUCCAGCCUCCGAAGUCUCAAAGCAUCACUUCCACCAUACUCUAACUGUCAAGACAAACACAAAGGCCCAGAAACUGCCAGACUGUCUUCUGAAGUGGCUAUAAUAUUUACACUCCCAUCAGCAGUGUAGAAGGGGUCUCACUAUGUUGUCUGGAGUGCUGUGGUGGAGUGGAGUGGCUAUUCACAGAGCCUGUUCUGCUGGGACACAGAAUCACUUGCUCCAUCUCAUACAUUGAUGAUGAUUAAUUUGUAUGUGUACCUUCCAAAAAAGAUGGUUGUGUUUGAAUGGAGGCCUUCUGGACAGGAAAAUAUGGAGAGUGCGUGCUUUGGAUUCAAGACUGGGAAUGAGGGGACCAGAAACCUAUUCUGUGGCUGUUUCUUGUUAGGACUUUCCUAAGCCUCUGGAAAAGACUAAUCUUUCCAAGUUCAUCUGAGGCUCCUCUUCUCCAUGACAACCUCAUCCAGGGAUUUCUUCCUGUCCUGGUGUUUUAUGACAUGUGGAAGGGGACUGUAGCAGGUGAUCUCCAAAGUCUCUGGAGACUUACUAAUGUGCAUCCUCAUCUCGCUUGUAAGGAUAAUAGCCUUCCUCCAAACCUCACACACUUUUGGAGGAGAUCACUUUUUUUAAAGUGCAUGGAAAUGUUUUGAAACAGUGAAAUCUAUAAUGAUAGGUUUCAUAAUUCUAACAUCCACACCAUAUGAAUCACAUCCUUCCUGAGAUAAUGAGCACACAAUUGCCUGGAUACCUGAAGGAAUGGAGACAGCGGCAGAAAACACUGCAGAGAGGUGGAAACAUCCGUUAAUAUUUUAAAAUCCCAUUACUGCUACCAACAAUAAUAAUGGAUGCAUAGAAAUAGAUCUGGAUUAGCUGAGCUUGAAACAGUCCAUCUCACACACACACAAAAGAAUUUCAGAUACAGUGAACCCACAUGUUGAAGCUUUCUAGUAUAAUAAAAAUUUCAACUGUUCUGUUGAAUCAUCUGCCUGAUUGGAGGCUACAGAAAAGAUGUCAUCUUAGGAGUGCUUGCUCUGAGUGAGGCUCAUCUUCAAAUCUGAAUGACCACAAGGAGAUUUGAUUAUACAUGUGAACACCUCAGAAGGCACAGCCCACCCAGAAGGCAGACAGGUCAGGCUGCUUUUUCUUCAUUGCUUGGAUUCAAUCCUCCGGGCGGCUCAGGCUCAAACAUAACUUAAGCAUGAUUAAACUUUAGAAGAAGCUGCCAGGAAGACUGUGAAAUCUUCAUGCCCAAGGAUCCCUAAAAUUAGGAGCAACAACCACUUGGCUCAGACGGUUUAUGGAGGCAAAGGUUUGGAUGGGAUUAGAGAUUUCUAAAUGUGAGUUCGUGUCCUCUGCCAGACCACCUUACUUCCACCAUUCCUCAGCAAAUCAAGAAAAACAGGAGAAAAGACAUGCCUUUCCAUAAGUUAAAUCUAUUCUGUUUUAAUUCUAUAUUAUAUCUGCUGUACAACUUCUUUUGUUUGUAACACCAUAUUGUUGCUAGUAACUGGAAAUUAAUUUUCACAUGCCUCAGCUUAGAAAAAUAAAAAGCAGCCCUGCAUCAAUCCCAA
ensembl:lncRNA LINC00635 long intergenic non-protein coding RNA 635